rnacentral:rRNA from 1 species
GACGAACGCUGGCGGCGUGCUUAACACAUGCAAGUCGAACGAUGAAGCCUAGCUUGCUAGGUGGAUUAGUGGCGAACGGGUGAGUAAUACGUGAGUAACCUACCUUUAACUCUGGGAUAAGCCCGGGAAACUGGGUCUAAUACCGGAUACGACCAAUCUCCGCAUGGGGUGUUGGUGGAAAGCGUUAUGUAGUGGUUAUAGAUGGGCUCACGGCCUAUCAGCUUGUUGGUGAGGUAACGGCUCACCAAGGCGACGACGGGUAGCCGGCCUGAGAGGGUGACCGGUCACACUGGGACUGAGACACGGCCCAGACUCCUACGGGAGGCAGCAGUGGGGAAUAUUGCACAAUGGGCGCAAGCCUGAUGCAGCGACGCCGCGUGAGGGAUGACGGCCUUCGGGUUGUAAACCUCUGUUAGCAGGGAAGAAGAGAGAUUGACGGUACCUGCAGAGAAAGCGCCGGCUAACUACGUG